rnacentral:rRNA from 1 species
UCAUUACCGAGUUAUCCAACUCCCAACCCCUGUGAAUCAUACCUUUAAUUGUUGCUUCGGCGGGACUUCGCGCCCGCCGGGGACCCGAACCUUCUGAAUUUUUUAAUAAGUAUCUUCUGAGUGGUUAAAAAAAUGAAUCAAAACUUUCAACAACGGAUCUCUUGGUUCUGGCAUCGAUGAAGAACGCAGCGAAAUGCGAUAAGUAAUGUGAAUUGCAGAAUUCAGUGAAUCAUCGAAUCUUUGAACGCACAUUGCGCCCGUCAGUAUUCUGGCGGGCAUGCCUGUUCGAGCGUCAUUACGCCCCUCAAGUCCCCUGUGGACUUGGUGUUGGGGAUCGGCGAGGCUGGUUUUCCAGCACAGCCGUCCCUUAAAUUAAUUGGCGGUCUCGCCGUGGCCCUCCUCUGCGCAGUAGUAAAACACUCGCAACAGGAGCCCGGCGCGGUCCACUGCCGUAAAACCCCCCAACUUUUUAUAGUUGACCUCGAAUCAAGUAGGACUACC